rnacentral:rRNA from 1 species
CCUACGGGAGGCAGCAGUGGGGAAUCUUGGGCAAUGGGCGCAAGCCUGACCCAGCAACGCCGCGUGAAGGAAGAAAGCUUUCGGGUUGUAAACUUCUUUUCUCAGGGACGAAGCAAGUGACGGUACCUGCGGAAUAAGCCACGGCUAACUACGUUCCAGCAGCCGCGGUAAUACGUAGGUGGCAAGCGUUAUCCGGAUUUACUGGGUGUAAAGGGCGUGUAGGCGGGGACGCAAGUCAGCUGUGAAAACCACGGGCUCAACCUGUGGCCUGCAGUUGAAACUGUGUUUCUUGAGUACUGGAGAGGCAGACGGAAUUCCUGGUGUAGCAGUGAAAUGCGUAGAUAUUAGGAGGAACACCAGUGGCGAAGGCGGUCUGCUGGACAGCAACUGACGCUGAGGCGCGAAGGCGUGGGGAGCAAACAGGAUUAGAUACCCUUGUAGUC